AUCCUUAGAAGGAUGGGCUUGAACCCUCCUGGCAGGAAGGGGCAGGCUGGUGUGUGACAGCUCUGUGCUGCUGUGCCUCAAGAAGAGGUUUCACCUGGGCCGCAUCUAUACACAUCUUUGCCAUCGUGGCAUCAGCCUAUGACCUGGCUCAGAAUACUGGGCAGGACCCAUGCAUCCUCCUGCG
rnacentral:sRNA from 1 species